rnacentral:rRNA from 1 species
UAGGGAAUAUUGGACAAUGGGGGCAACCCUGAUCCAGCCAUGCCGCGUGAGUGAAGAAGGCCCUCGGGUUGUAAAGCUCUUUUGUCCGGAAAGAAAAGCUUCGGGUUAAUACCCCGGGGUUCUGACGGUACCGGAAGAAUAAGCACCGGCUAACUUCGUGCCAGCAGCCGCGGUAAUACGAAGGGUGCAAGCGUUACUCGGAAUUACUGGGCGUAAAGCGUGCGUAGGUGGUUGUUUAAGUCUAAUGUGAAAGCCCUGGGCUCAACCUUGGAAUGGCAUUGGNAACUGGGCAGCUAGAGUGCGGUAGAGGGUAGUGGAAUUCCCGGUGUAGCCGUGAAAUGCGUAGAGAUCGGGAGGAGCAUCUGUGGCGAAGGCGACUGCCUGGACCAGCACUGACACUGAGGCACGAAAGCGUGG